rnacentral:rRNA from 1 species
GACGAACGCUGGCGGCGUGCCUAAUACAUGCAAGUCGAGCGAAUGACGAGAAGCUUGCUUCUCUGAUUUAGCGGCGGACGGGUGAGUAACACGUGGGCAACCUGCCCUACAGAUCGGGAUAACUCAGGGAAACCUGGGCUAAUACCGGAUAAUCCUUCGAAUCACAUGUUUUGAAGUUGAAAGGCGCUUCGGCGUCACUGUAGGAUGGGCCCGCGGUGCAUUAGCUAGUUGGUGGGGUAACGGCCUACCAAGGCAACGAUGCAUAGCCGACCUAGGAGGGUGAUCGGCCACAUUGGGACUGAGACACGGCCCAAACUCCUACGGGAGGCAGCAGUAGGGAAUCUUCCACAAUGGACGAAAGUCUGAUGGAGCAACGCCGCGUGAGUGAUGAAGGUUUUCGGAUCGUAAAACUCUGUUGUAAGGGAAGAACAAGUACGUUAGGAAAUGAACGUACCUUGACGGUACCUUAUUAGAAAGCCACGGCUAACUACGUGCCAGCCGCCGCCGUAA